CAGUCGCCACGGUAAUACGUAGGUGGCAAGCGUUGUCCGGAAUUAUUGGGCGUAAAGGGCUCGCAGGCGGUUUCUUAAGUCUGAUGUGAAAGCCCCCGGCUCAACCGGGGAGGGUCAUUGGAAACUGGGAAACUUGAGUGCAGAAGAGGAGAGUGGAAUUCCACGUGUAGCGGCGAAAUGCGUAGAGAUGUGGAGGAACACCAGUGGCGAAGGCGACUCUCUGGUCUGUAACUGACGCUGAGGAGCGAAAGCGUGGGGAGCGAACAGGAUUAGAGACCCCAGUAGUCCCUGUCUCUUAUAC
rnacentral:rRNA from 1 species